GGAUGUCACAUUCGUAGGAAGAGAGAGAAGUCUUGGACCAUGUGUGUAAUUCGAGCGUGGGACUGUGCAAUUCUCGGAUUGGGAAAGGGAGGAGUGGAAAUAACCCCGGCAGUGCCAGGCUUGCUGGUGGUCAGGAACAGAUGAUUCCAGCCCUGUGCUGAUCGCCUGCCUUCCUCCUGCCAUUCAGAAUGCUGCUGUCUCGUGUACUUACUGUUAAGGAUCCUGGAAAAGGGAGUGGUUCCUCCUAGCUGCAAACAAGGGCGCUACUUUUCUUUUCUCUUUAAUAGAAUUACGUUUUAUAGGUGUGUCUAGGCAACACAAGGGAAUGUGAAAGACUUUCAGAGGGAAUGUUUGUGAAUACAUCUGGUGUGUACUAAAAAGCUGGAAAACCCCUAAGUAAAUGCAAUAUCGAUAGAAAGCGAGUUUCUUGAAGAGUCAUCUGCUAAACUCCACUAGAGUCAUCUCUACAGGUGUGGUUAAGAGAAAAAAAAAUUGCCAUUAAGGAAUCAGCAAAUAGGAUGUCUGAAGUGAGGAUAUAGCACCUAUCUCUGAGAUUAAAGUCAUCUGAUCAAAAAUGAUGCCUCUGAGACUAUAACAAAGGAAUGAAUAAUGAAAUAUAAGAAUGGGGAUUCUGCACUAACUCUAUGGGGAAGAAAACAAUGCUCUGAUAUAGCAAGACCAAACCAUCAUCUUUCUCCUCCUUCUCAACUCAACGUGAAGACAACAAGAAUGAAGACUUUUGAUGAUCCACUUCCACUUAAUGACUAUCUCUGUUCAUCAUGAGAAAUGCUCAGCGACUGCAGACAUAAAGAGAAAGCUUUCAAUUAAAGUUUCAAUGAUGGGAUAGGAACUGAGAAGUCUGUGGAGUUUUCUGCCUAGGAGUACCCUUGGAAAAGCCACUGCUAUGCCCAACCAGCACUGGGAAUCCCAGAUCACAUGCAAUCAUAGGAGUUGCCCUGGAGGCAGAAGCUCAGCACAUGUUCUGGUACAAGGAGAUUACAGUGUUGUGCAAAGCAAAGGGAUGAAUGAUGCCCAACUCUCUAACAUGGGCCUCGGUUUCCACAUCGAGGUUGGAAAUGAGCUAGGAAGCAGAUCCACCAUAAAUGGAGAAAGAAGAGAAACAAGUUGAGCUUUUAAUGACCCCGUAGCCUGACUCUUUGGUAUGGAAAUGGAAAGAGAUCCUCAUGGAAACAUAAAUAAAAUAUAUCACAUGUAACUUAUACCAAUAAUUAUUUUCUCCCCCAGUACCUCAAUUUUGCCCAGAUUGGACUCUAUUUUAUUUCCUUAUUUUUCCACAGUAAUUUACUUAAGUAAAACCAGGAUUUAUUUUAUUCAUCUCCAUGUCAGUUGCUAAGUCCAAGGGAUGUAUAUAGUUUAAAAAAUAUCACAAAGGAUGAUAUGGUGAAAUUGAACAACACAUUAUUACCUGAUGUACAGUCAUUGAUUUUGUAUACUAGCCUUUACCCCUGGCUACUGAUAAUUUUGGAUUUUGAAGAUUCAAAGACAGAGACUUGUAAAUACUUUAGUUUUUACACUUCUUUAUCA
rnacentral:lncRNA from 1 species